rnacentral:rRNA from 1 species
UACGUAGGGUGCAAGCGUUGUCCGGAAUUAUUGGGCGUAAAGAGCUCGUAGGCGGUUCGUCGCGUCGGCUGUGAAAACCCGGAGCUCAACUCCGGGCCUGCAGUCGAUACGGGCGGACUUGAGUGUUGCAGGGGAGACUGGAAUUCCUGGUGUAGCGGUGAAAUGCGCAGAUAUCAGGAGGAACACCGGUGGCGAAGGCGGCUCGCUGGACCGUUACUGACGCUGAGGAACGAAAGCUAGGGGAGCAAACAGG